rnacentral:tRNA from 1 species
GGAAAGGUGGCAGAGUGGUCGAAUGCGCCGGACUCGAAAUCCGGUUUACCGGUCUCCGGUAACGUGGGUUCGAAUCCCACCCUUUCCGCCA